ensembl:lncRNA
UUUACAUUCUCCUGCUAUUAAAAUUAUGUAAAUAAAUCAUUUGUAAAUGUGUAAUAUUGGUACGUCAACAUCUUCAUUGCAAAAAAAAAAGUCAGUACAUGUACAAACUUAACUUUAAGCUACACAUUAUUUUGACAGGAAGUCAAGAACUGUCCAUUGAUCAGCACAGCAAUUGAUAAAACAGGACCAUGUUUGAAACACAAGUGGUUCUGAGUUUAAUUCAAUAUUUCACCGGUUGGCUACCAGUUAUAGAAAUCAUGAAUGCAGACGGGCUCGGAGCUGCUAUGUCCCAACCCAACCCCACCUGCUGUUAUGUUGGUACGUACUGACCAACAAAGGAUCUUAUGAUUCAUGUUUUCCUAAAAUACAGGCAGCCAAACAUUACUACAAGACAAAACAUCUCAAUCAUGUCUGAUGGUCUUGUAAAUAUAAAAGCAAAGCUGGAUUUCAUUUCAUAAAACACCUUGAAAAGGUUUCGUAAUGGGAUGAUGGGUUCUUCACACACCACAGUAAGACAAUACUUGACCUUGUAUUUGGUACAAAUCACAUUAUUGUGGAAGCCCCUCUAACAGUAUGAAUGAGGCUGUUUGAGAAGGUUUGAAUCCCUAGCAACCUGCCUACACAUAGUCUGAAGUACAAUACCAACAUAGCUCCAGUAGUAGGUCAAAGCUGGGUGCUGGAAACCCUGGUAGAGCAUGUUGGGGGAAUAGGCAAGUUGGGGGAAUGGGCAUGGUGUUAGGUACGGGGUUAGGCAUGGUGUUAGGUACGGGGUUAGGGAUGGUGUUAGGCAUGGGGUUAGGGAUGGUGUUAGGUAGGGGGUUAGGCAUGGUGUUAGGGAUGGUGUUAGGCAUGGUGUUAGGUAUGGGGUUAGGCAUGGUGUUAGGUAGGGGGUUAGGGAUGGUGUUAGGG